rnacentral:RNase_P_RNA from 1 species
GGCCGGGUUAGACGGCUGUCCCAACGGAGGAAGUCCGUCCACCAUCAAAAGCGCAGCCCGUAAGGGCCGGGUUAAGCACCCGGGCUCUGCUACAGAAACGACACCAACCUGCUCCAUAAAGCUAUGAAGUUUAACAGAGCGGAACAGGUUGGAUGAAACGAGCAUCCUGCGCGGUGAAAGGCGUUUGCCGAUUAGACAAAUGCCGUCACAGGGCUUGCUGGCAUGAAAAUGCCAUAUGCACCCUGAACAAAAGACGGACUAUUACCCGGCC